GACAUAGGUGGCAAACGUUAUCCGGAAUUAUUGGGCGUAAAGGGUGCGUAGAUGGUUUGAUAAGUUAGCAGUGGGAAAUCGGGGCUCAACCUCGUGGAAGUUGGUAAUACUGUCAAACUAGAGCACAGGAGAGGUUAGUGGAAUUCCAUGUGGAGGGGUAAAAUCUGAUGAUAUAUGGAGGAACAUCAAUAACGGCGAAGGCAACUAACUAUUCUGCUGCUGACAUUGAGGCACGAAAGCGUGGGUAGCGAAACGG
rnacentral:rRNA from 1 species